rnacentral:lncRNA from 1 species
CGAAUAUGACAAUUGAGCGACCGUGCUAGAACCACGGAACUCGGGAAUGCCUAACACAUUCUCCCGAGUUAACAUAAUUUCUUAUCCGGAUUUCUGGUUCGCAGACUAUAAUAAAAGAGUCAUUGUUUUCCUUGAUUCGGAAUUAAAAUCGGUGACUUGGGACACCAUAAAUCUCCCAAGUGGCAACUCUGAAUUAAAUAAACAAAUUCCGUUUCGAUUUUCCUUUAAUUGGAAAAACUCCCUUUGUUCCCCUAUGCGAGCACAAAAAGCAGGUGUGACAGCUCUGGCGACUCUGCUGAGGAUUCUUUUGGAGCUUGGUCUAUAAGUUCCUCAACCGUUGCUUUCCAGCCUUUCUCCAUAUUUCCCAUAACUUUCUAGGCCAGUUUGUCAUUUGGUCUUGCAACAAAUGCCUUUUUGUCUUAUUGCUUUGUCUUUGGCCUGUUCUCUUCACAUUUCACUUUGUACCAUUUUGGCAACUGGUAGUAAACUCUGAAAAUCCUUCUCAAAAUAAUUUUCUGGAAAAAGUUUUUUUAGAAAAAGAAAUGAAAAGAUAGAAAAAGAGAAAUUUUUUCUGAACAAAUGUUGGGAGGAAAAGAAAAGGAAAGAACUUAUCUGGAUGGUAUCACUGGUCCAACUAUCAUGUCGUGCAUUCUGGAUUAAUCGACCCAGUCUAUUUGUACCAAUCAAUCUUUCUGAUAGCGUCAUUUGUCGGGAAUAAACAGACGCCCAAUUUUUUCCAUAUGCUAAUUUUCUAUUUCGUCUCUAAAAAUAAAAAAAGCCAAAAUCCUACAUUAUUUACAUGAUGGAAUUAUUAUAGCUAAGUCCAAACAUAAAUUGUUAAUGCUGAAAAAAUGAAGGCGUACAUAGGCAGGAGUUUAAUGGUUUUGGGCCCAGACCCCACGUGAAUGAGGCGAAACUAGGUCUGGGCCUUCCUACUCUAACUUUUGAGGCUUAGUUACAUUUAUCUUACAUAUACUAAGAAAGUUAUGGGCAGGGAAGUAUAAAAAUGAGAACAAACUAAUUCACCGAUAUUGCUUAACUGGAGUAAAUUAAACUAUCUAACAAUUAAUUACCUAAAACAUGGUAUGCUUUUAAAACAAGGUAACUGAAAAGGGCAGAGUGCUGCUACUGUAUUGUAGUUCUUUUUAAACUAGCCUAUAAGGGAAGAAAUCUACAAUCUAAACUUAUUACAGCUUAGUGUUCAUUUAUACACAAUCAAUUGACAUGGUUCUAAUGAAGUUCGUUAAUUAACCUAUAUAUAACUAAAAUACAGAGUACAACUAAGUGUUUCAAAACUUCAAUCCUUCAUUUGUUCAUGCUUCUUAUUUCAGCUACAUUGAACCAGUGCAUUAAUUGUGUGUACCUGGUAUUUGGAAGAAAAGGAAGAAAGGAGAUGAAGAUCAGUAGUGACAGUAGCACUUAGCAAAGCAACAGAUUCAACGACAACAUCUUCAGCAACAAGCAGAUUCUAGUAAUAGUAGCAGAAACCCAGUAAUAGAUGAAGAAUCAAGCAGAAAAAAUGUCCAAGGAUAGAUGUAAUAGCCCUUGAAUACCAACAACAACUCAAUCAACAGCCAAAUAGACAACCGCAACACCAGAAAUCAACUAAUACCAGGAAACCCAAGAAUAUCACACUGGAAGUCCAGUAACACUCAAGAAUGAACUCACAAUCACAUCAGAAAUGAACAGAUGUGAGGAAAGUAAUGUUUCUGCUUAUGAACACUCACAAGAUUCAGCCUUAUCUCUCAGUUUUUAACUUAACUCCUAUCUCUGGUCUAUGAGAAUCAAAGAACCAGCCUUAAACUCUUCUAUUUCUCUGGAAUCUUUUCACUCAAAAUGCAGCUUUAACCCUCAGUUUGACGUAUCUCUUUAGGUUUUAAAAAGCCAGCGUUUAACUUUCUAUAUUUCUGGAAAAGAUUUUCUAUCCAAUCCCUCUCCAGUUCUAAAAAUUCCAGUCUAUAUUUUUAGCUCUCCUAAUACUAAACUUCUAAUGUUAAAAUUUCGUCCUAAGCUCUCAAUUUCUAAUGUUCAAAAUCCAGUCCCUAAUUACUCUUCAACUCUCUGUAUUUAUAGUAACCCCCUAGACCU